rnacentral:rRNA from 1 species
UACGUAGGGUGCAAGCGUUGUCCGGAAUCAUUGGGCGUAAAGCGCGUGUAGGCGGCUCGAUAAGUCUGCUGUGAAAGUCCAGGGCUCAACCCUGGGAUGCCGGUGGAUACUGUCGAGCUCGAGUCCGGAAGAGGAGUGUGGAAUUCCUGGUGUAGCGGUGAAAUGCGCAGAUAUCAGGAGGAACACCAAUGGCGAAGGCAGCACUCUGGGACGUGACUGACGCUGAGACGCGAAAGCGUGGGGAGCAAACAGG